rnacentral:rRNA from 1 species
UACGUAGGGUGCGAGCGUUGUCCGGAAUUAUUGGGCGUAAAGGGCUCGUAGGCGGUUUGUUGCGUCGGGAGUGAAAACUCAGGGCUUAACCCUGAGCCUGCUUCCGAUACGGGCAGACUAGGGGUAUGCAGGGGGAGAACGGAAUUCCUGGUGUGAGCGGUGGAAAUGCGCAGACGUAUCAGGAGGAACACCGGUGGCGGAAGGCGGUUCUCUGGGCAUUACCUGACGCUGAGGAGCGAAAGUGUGGGGAGCGAACAGG